rnacentral:rRNA from 1 species
AUGGCGAGGACUAGUCGCCGGCGAGAGGCUGCCAAAUUGAUGGCCAAACCAUCGGUUAAGGCGGAAUCCUCCCUCGACAAGCUGAAAUGUAAGGAAGAUGAUAGGAUCAGCAAGUUGCCCAAUGACAUACUGGUCAACAUUCUUGACCGUCUCAAUUUCCGUGAUGUUACAAGAACCAGUGUCCUCUCCAGACGUUGGAGUCAGCUUCCUGCCAAUCUCUCACGGCUUAAAAUAAGUGCUCGCGAUUUUCUGUCCCCACAAGCUAGCAUACCUGAUGAUGAAUUGGAUGAAAAAUUGCUUCGGAUCAAUGCAUUGCUUAGGAUCAAUGCAGUCAAUGCAGCCAAUGCAGCUGUGGUCAAAGCGACAGAGAGCACGCUGGCACACAGAGAUCCAGGUGGAUGCACCAUCCGCCUCUUGAGCACGACGUUCUACUUGAGAGGUGAUACCCCAAUAUCUGUUGGGCAUACUGUUGGCAAUGCCAUGGCGACACUCAAGGUCGAGAAAGCCGAAUUCACAGUUUUGACACAGCAGAAAGGACGCCAGUGUAGUAUUGAUGAGAUGGUGAAGUUUGGGACACGGUUUGUGUCAUUUUUUAAUGAAUGCCACAAUGCAUUUGCUGGUCUCACACGCCUCUACCUGGAGAAUUUGAGAUUCCGUGAAUCCAACUUUGUCUCUAACAUCCUUGUCACUUGCAAGCAAUUAAAUUAUUUAGGUUUUUUCAAUUGUGACACAGAGGAUUGGAUAACGCUCCAAGUUGAACACGCACAGCUCAGUGAGCUUAGUAUUGUUGAUUGCCGUUUUGACAUGGUCGAGCUCACCUGGGUUCCGAAACUCACCUGGCUGGCGUUUUUGUUAUGGUUAUAUCAUGCAGAACUACCACUGUCACUGGGCUAUGUCCCAUUGCUCAGGGUUCUGAGACUUUCAAAUGCUGCUCAUAGUUUCCACAAAAACGUCAAGCUGAGUAUGUUUCUCCAUGAGACCUCUGUUCGAGACCUGACUUUGGGGUUUAAAUGUGAAAAGGUUUGGGUUCAACCAGAGUGUUUGACCAGAAGACAGGCAUAUGUGUUCCAGCAACUAAGGAUUCUCAAUCUAGUUAAAAUUCCUGAAGGGUAUGAUCUCACCUGGACAAUGUUCUUCUUGGAAGCGGCGCCGUCCCUGGAGGAGCUCUACAUGAUGGUAUGGGACCAUCCAUGUGAAAUGAAAAUGGAUCAGGAGAUUAGCGAGAACAAGGGCGUUGAGUGGGAAUCACCUACAUCAAAUUUCAAGCACCACUGUCUGGCCAAGUUCAUCCUCGUCGGCUUUCAAGCUAAAGACUACAUGGUGGCUCAUGUCAGGCGUGUCCUGAAAGCAGCGGUGAAUCUACAGGAUGUGUACCUGUAUGAUAGUCUGGCAUGUGCCAAGUGUCACAAGAAGGUAGAGAAUGCGCGCACGUCUGAUGCAGUGGUACGUGGUAUGUGCCCGGGCGUGAAUCUGCCGAUAAAGUUCCCUUGUACAAAUGAGGACCAGCGUUCAGUGCAGAAGCGAAUGCCCCGGGGCAUUGGGUCACUUGCCAAAAUCCACUUCGUGACAUCUAAGGAAAUGAGGGCUGAACAUCGUCGAAGGAUGGGUGUCAUGGGAGCUAACUGGAUGUUGUCGAGGCUAGGGCAGCGUAUUUAA